AGUAGCGUGGCUCAGUGGAAAGAGCCCGGGCUUGGGAGUCAGAGGUCAUGGGUUCGAAUCCCAACACUGUCA
rnacentral:tRNA from 1 species